GACGAACGCUGGCGGCGCGCCUAACACAUGCAAGUCGAACGAGCGAGAGAGAGCUUGCUUUCUCGAGCGAGUGGCGAACGGGUGAGUAACGCGUGAGGAACCUGCCUCAAAGAGGGGGACAACAGUUGGAAACGACUGCUAAUACCGCAUAAGCCCACGGUGCCGCAUGGCACAGAGGGAAAAGGAGUAAUCCGCUUUGAGAUGGCCUCGCGUCCGAUUAGCUAGUUGGUGAGGUAACGGCCCACCAAGGCGACGAUCGGUAGCCGGACUGAGAGGUUGAACGGCCACAUUGGGACUGAGACACGGCCCAGACUCCUACGGGAGGCAGCAGUGGGGAAUAUUGCACAAUGGGGGAAACCCUGAUGCAGCGACGCCGCGUGGAGGAAGAAGGUCUUCGGAUUGUAAACUCCUGUUGUUGGGGAAGAUAAUGACGGUACCCAACAAGGAAGUGACGGCUAACUACGUGCCAGCAGCCGCGGU
rnacentral:rRNA from 1 species